CCAAAAGAUCGAAUGGGGAGAUUCAUCGUCAGCGCAUCUGGUAUNNGUGCARGUUGCGAUGUCGAUGCUUACACGUACUUGUAUCAUUUUGUUGCCAGUUGUUGUCGGCGUGCACUUCUCCCCUAGUACCCGCCGCAAGCGAGGCCAGCUGUAUCCCGGUAGUCACGGACCUAGUGCCGUCGCUGGGCCUGGCCAGCUGUUGGCUGUUGCGGUGUUCUUUGACUGGCUCAGGACCCGUCUUGAAACACGGACCAAGGAGUCUAACAUGUGCGCGAGUCAUUGGGAUUUAUUUUUUUUUAAAUUAAACCUAAAGGCGCAAUGAAAGUGAAGGUCGUCCGUGCGUCGACCGAGGGAGGAUGGGCCGUGUUACGAUGCGGCUCCGCACUCCCGGGGCGUCU
rnacentral:rRNA from 1 species